AGGAAGGGGAGGGAUU
rnacentral:tRNA from 5 species